rnacentral:rRNA from 1 species
UACGUAGGUGGCAAGCGUUGUCCGGAAUUACUGGGUGUAAAGCGCGUGUAGGCGGCAGACCAAGUCGGCGGUGAAAGCGCCCGGCUCAACUGGGCGAGGUCCGUGGAAACUGGUCAGCUGGAGGACGGUAGAGGCGAGUGGAAUUCCCGGUGUAGUGGUGAAAUGCGUAGAUAUCUGGAGGAACACCGGUGGCGAAGGCGGCAUUCUGGACUGCAACUGACACUGAGGAACGAAAGCCAGGGGAGCAAACGGG